GCGCGCGCCGGCUUUCCGCCCCCCUGAGGGGGCCGGGCCGCGCCGGGCCGGGCCGAGUCGGGGUGUUCGCCGUUCGCCCGUGGCAGGUGUUUGUGCGCGUCGCGGGAGCGGCGGGAGGCCUCAGGCAGCCGGGGCUUUGGCUCCGAGCUCGCCUGAGCGCGGUGCCAGAGCAGCCGGCACCGGGGCGCAGCUGGGGUUUGCCCCGCUCCGGUGAGCUCUACCGACGAGGCUAAUGCAGGUCUGAAGCUACGAGAAGGCCUCAGUGCACCCAAGGCAGCGCGUGGCUCCGGGUCACUGCAGCACACGCUGAGGCCGCCCGAGCGGAGGGUCCCUGGUCACCGAAGGGAGUGCCGUGUAGUCGGGGUUUCCACCGGCCAAGCAACAGGAGCAUCACGGGCAGCGCUGUAGAUGCUCACAGAAAACUAAAUGCUGCUGAAUCAGAACCUGCAAGUACUGAAGUCAGAAGAGUGCGUGGAUUUGUCAGAAAAUUGUGCAUCCCUGGGAAGCAAGUUUGAAGACAAAGUUACAGCCCCGUAUAAGAAGUAAACCAACUGAAUGGCUGAAAUAAAUUUUUGAGAUUUUUUUUUCAAUAAUGCUUUUCCAUGCAGCUCUAAGUUCACAUUCCUUUACUAAUAUUUGACCACAUAUACACAUAUUUACAGUUACAUAUUUACAGUGGUCCAUUCAAAUUAAUAAUAAAAAUGAAUUUCUGCAAGCGUUA